rnacentral:rRNA from 1 species
UACGGAGGGUCCAAGCGUUAUCCGGAUUCAUUGGGCGUAAAGAGCUCGUAGGCGGCCACUCAAGUCGAAUGUGAAACCUCGAGGCUUAACCUCGAGCCUGCAUUCGAUACUGGGUGGCUAGAGUCUGGUAGGGGGAUCUGGAAUUCCUGGUGUAGCGGUGAAAUGCGCAGAUAUCAGGAAGAACACCCGUGGCUAAGGCGGCUCUCUAGUACGGUACUGACGCUGAGACGCGAAAGCGUGGGGAGCGAACAGG